CUAGUUAAAGAAGACUAAUACAAACUUGUUUACAACUCUUUGGUUCUUUUUGUCAGCAUGAAUUUGCAUCAAUUGGUUCAGUUCAUGCUUUCAAAUAGUCAAAUGACAAAAAAGGCACUCUUCAUUUGACCAUCUACAUUUCAGUCUAUUGAAGAAAUUUUCCAGAAAUGGCAGCUGCAAGUGCUGAUUUGAAGUUGGGAUCUUUAGUCAACGCAGAAGCCAUUUGUUCUACCAAAAACUGCUGGAAUUCUGGUCUAUUAACUUUGCUGCUGGUCUUUUGUCGGGUUAGAUCAAGGGUAAUGGACGGUCUGGUCGAGCAAGGGACCGAGCUAAGUGUCACAUAAUGGUUCGAGCUCGAAGUCAUCUCAAGCUUGGACACUUGUGAAUGAUUGUGCUCCCCUUCAUAAGUUGCAACUAGAAUGGAUUGAUCCUCUGAACUUCUUUGAACCUGCAAAAAAUAAUGAAAGGAGGUUUAUGAAAAGGGACCAAACCCACACAAUUAAUUGCAAGAUACAGUUGAUCAAUAAUAAAAUAGAAAUUAAACUUGCAAAAAAAUAAAAUGAACACAACAAAAUUUUUUUGGUCGAAGCUCCAGAAGUUCAGCGUUCUUCCAAACAUCUAAUCUCCCAUUGAGCAUCCAAUCAAGACUGAAUAUUUCUCGGUUGAAUUAAAUGCCUUAAAAAUUAGCAAUAAAUGUUAUAAUGUUCAGUCAAUACAAGAAUACACAAAGGAAGGGAUUUAUCUCUUCAAGAAAUCAACAGAUAUGCCUCAAAUCACUCAAGAAUCAACAAACCACUUUCUCAGAUCUCAACACAUGAGAACCCUCUCGUUCUUAUAAAAUUUUCAUUUCAGAAAAUACUAGUAUUCUAUGGCUAAAACAUCAAAAUCAUAGUUUUCGAAUGCGAUGUUCAACAAAAUGAGGGAAAUUAGAAACCCUAGCUACAGAGAGAAAAAUGGAACUCUCUCGAACACCUUCGUAGGAAAAGCUACAAGAAUGAAAAGUCUCUCUGCCAAACGGAUCGUCCAAGUUGCCUUUUAUAUCAUCAGAGCCAAAUGCUCAUCCAACGGUAGAAAAUACGCCAAGUGUCAUCAACCAGUGAGUUGCCAAUUAUAAAAGCGUGUUUUGAAAAUGCGUUUUAAAAUCUGAAAAAUAUGGGAGCACAAUCCGGGUUCGAGUCUCAACAGUUUAGAAUGCUAAAGAAGUUAAAAUUUUCUUAGAGCCAAGCUACCAGUCUACUUGCACAUAUUUUGAUGCAUAUUUGGUACGCAAUAUUCGACUCGGCUAGAAUGUAUGAGACAAUAUUAUAGCUAAAAACAUGUCAAUUAUAUUGUAUGUUAGUAUAAGGUACCAAACAUGUCCUUAAUGAAAAUAAAUAUUCAAAUGUGUCUUCAAGUUUUGGCCUACAAAUGCUCAUCCAACGGUAGAAAAUACGCCAGGUGUCAUCAACCAGUGAGUUGCCAAUUAUAAAAGCGUGUUUUGAAAAUGCGUUUUAAAAUCUGAAAAAUAUGGGAGCACAAUCCGGGUUCGAGUCUCAACAGUUUAGAAUGCUAAAGAAGUUAAAAUUUUCUUAGAGCCAAGCUCCCAGUCUACUUGCACAUAUUUUGAUGCAUAUUUGGUACGCAAUAUUCGACUCGGCUAGAAUAUAUGAGACAAUAUUAUAGCUAAAAACAUGUCAAUUAUAUUGUAUGUUAGUAUAAGGUACCAAACAUGUCCUUAAUGAAAAUAAAUAUUCAAAUGUGUCUUCAAGUUUUGGCCUCAAGAUGUCUUGAAGAGAGAUGAGAUGUUCUCUAUGGGUAUUUUGAACUUAAGAAAUGAUUGUAAGGUUUUUCUUUUCCUAAUAAAAAUCAAAGAAUAAAACUCCAUUUUUUCCAAAAUGAACAUCAAUCUCCAAUCAGCACCUAUACAUUUUUCGCCAAAAAAAUGUUCAUGAUACAAAUGCCAUAUGAUACAUAGUUUCUAAUUAGAGUCCAGUACAUAGAACCGAUCGCAUAAAAUCAUUCCAUAACACGAAUUCCUAUAUCUACACAAUCAGUUGAAUUCUGUGAAAUUAUUUCGUCGCAGUUAAUUGACAUCCUUCUAUAAUGCAAACAACUGAUAGUUAACUGAGGUUUUAUUGUGGCUUACCUUCUUUUUGAUUGGACAAGUAGGAGCAAAAGAGCACUUGAAAUAAGCUCUUGGACAAGGAUUGUCCCUAGUCACCUUCUGUCCAUAUUUCUUCCAUUGAUAUCCGUCCUUAACUAUCUGCAAUUUUUUAAUAUACAAUAUUCAUCAAGAGAACACGAUUCAAAAGUUUAUUUUCUCUUUAAUAGCCCAAGAUUUUAGAGGAGGUGAUUCAACAUAAUGAGUGUGGACUUACAAGGCUUGUAUCGGACGCUUGUGUCCGUAUGAAAACCCGAGAAAUCUUUGCUUUGAUGUGUUCUUCCCUUAGUUUCUUGCAUGAUUCUUCAUCGCUAGAGCUGCUCUCAGAAGCUGAGCCAUUGAUUUCAGUUUUCCUUUUUCUUGAUGCUGCAGUAUUAUCCAUUACUGGAUUCUUGAUUUUAUUCUCCAUUAAUUUGUUAUGCAGAUCUUUGUAAUUUUCACUCACUACUGCUAACAUUUCUGUGAGCCUCUUGUUUUCAGCACUAACUCGGUUCAGUUCAUCUACCAAAGCACUUCUCUGAUUAAAAUCAUGAAAAGAAAAUAUUCAAUACGGAUCAAGAAAAUAUGUUGUAUUGGCUGCAAUGUAUGUAGAUCAAAUGAUUUUACAGUAAUAAAAGUGUAAAUAAGGAAUGACGAUAGGUGAAAGACUCGAUGGUUCAAGAAGAAUAUCGAACCGUUUAAAACCCUCGUUACUAAGGAUUUCGGAUAAAAUUCCUCGGGCUCAAAGACUUCCGAGUGUUGCUUAGAAGCAUGUAUAAGCUCGAAAAAAUGGUAUUAUUUUUUCAAAUUGUUUCUACCGGUUUAAGUCAACCUUGGACCUUCCAAAAUCAUCUUGAGAUGAUCUCUAGGAGCCAUGAAUUUGUAAUCUUUUCUUAUUGUAUAAUGAAUCGAAGAAUUUGAUGAUACAUAACACUCUAAAGCUCAUAGAUUCAAUUCCAAACAUGGAGAAAAAAAUCAAACAAUUACUCACCUCAUCUUGAAAUCUUAAAGGUGUGGCAUUGAGAUCCAAUGAAGUAUUUAGCAGGCUGUUGAAUUCCAUAUGAAGUUUCAAAAAGAUGUUCUUCAGAAAAUGCUUUUAAUCUGGUCAAGUUUUCCCGUGUUUAUAUGUGCAAUGUUUUUCAGCACAAAAAUGAAUAAAAAUAUGUAUUCAAGAACCAGACUCACAACUUGUAGGAAGGUAAGAAGGAAGAUGUAGGAAAAGUGAUAAACUAAUGGCUUUGGGACAUUUAUUUAUAGCAAUUGGACUCGCAAGAAAAGUAAUGGAGGUUUUUAUUGAAGUGAAUAAAAUAAAGAGAUAUGUCGAAAUCAUGAAAUAUAUUUUGACAAGUUUUAUAUUUAGAAAAUAGAUACUAUCUCAAAAAAACAAACUAUACGACAAAGAGGUAAAUGAAAAAUAAACAUGACACGAAAAGAUAAAGAACGAAUUUUAUUUUAUUUUAUUUAUUUUUUUAUUUUUUUAUCGAAUAUGAUGUUUGGUAACCCAAAUAAAUAUAUUAAAUUUAUUAUGACUUGAAAAAAAUAUGUGCCAUGCCAUGUCAAAUUGCAUUAGUAGGUUGAAUUAGACAAUAUCGAAUAUAAAUAUAUAUUUUUUGUCCUACUAAUAAUUAGCACAAAAUAUCUACUGACGUAAAUUAUUUGUUCGAAUCCCGUAGGAUGAGACUCAUGUAAUAUAUUAUGAAAUAUAUCGUGUUUUUGCUGUUAAUUCGACUGUGUUUAUCUUUUACUAUAAUUUAUUUGAAUCAUCAUGUCCAGCUUGAAAUAAAUAAGAAUUAAAAAACAAAUUUUUAAAUAUCAAAAUUGGGAUAUUGAAAUUCUUGCAACUAGUCAAAGUCAAGCCCACCUUUAGAAGGAGAAAUAAGAGAAGUAGAUAAUAGGCAUAAGACAGCAACAACAACAAUAUUGACCAUUGUAUUUAUGUAUUUGUGUGUGGACUGCCGUUUUUUAAUACUCUGCCAUUGCUUUCCUUCCACGUUUACACGCAUUUUCCACGUUAAGUCUUUAUUUUAAUAACUAUGAAGUUCAACUAUUCAUUCAUUAUAAUAUAUACAUGUAAGUCUUUAUUUUAAUCACUAUGAAGUUCCACCAUUUAUUCAUUAUAAAUAUGCACAACGUGCAAGUGUGUGUGUGUGUCUAUAUAUAUAUAUAUAUAUAUAUCAGUGCUUAACUAAUGCUAAACACAGCAACAGAAUGAGUUUAGCUUACACUAACGCCAGAUGACCCGUCACAUUACGAUAGUAGUAUAAUCAUUUUUGUAACCAACUAUUAUUCCUUAUCAUCUAUUGUAGUGUGUUACGCUACCCGAGUGCUAAGACCGAUUUUAAGGAGAUCGGUCAUAUGUAUGCAUCCUUGCAUUGGAAUGUCAACCGUAUGAAUAGUGUGAUAGAAUAAGGAAUAAAAUCUGUUGACCUUGAAAAUUGGACUUUUCACGUGGCCAACCGAUAGCUACUCCACGUAUUCCUCCCUGUGCACAAUCAACGCACGGUCAGACGCACACGGCCGGGACCAGCGGGGGUGGCGGCGGUCGUAUACACUCCGACGGUCAAAUCAGGUUUAGGUGGUCGAAACAGUACCCAGGGGUUGUGCAAAAUAAUAAUAAUAAAGGGGAGGAGAAAAUAUAUAAACUUGCUAUGGAGUGCUAUGUAGUAAGAGUUUCAUUACCUUUGCCUCUUGCCAAAUCUUGGGUAUUUAUAGGUGGGAUGAACCGUUGGAUGUGGGACACGUGUAUACAUCUGAUGGUAUGAGGCGUCCGCUCAUAGGCGUCAAUCAGCCGCGUCUGUAGAGUGGGCGGGCAGCUUGUUUCUCCUGAGUUGAAUUGACAUAAAGUUGAUAAGUCACAUCAACUAGCAUCAUGGAGACGUCAAAUCAAUUUAAACCUUAGGUGCAGAGAGGAUCUUGGCACAAAUCUCUUUCUGAAAUUGACGGCGGAUCUUCUGACAGGGGUCCACUUGGCCUCCGCCUCGAGGCGAGGAGCUUCAGUCAGUUCAGCAGGAUCGCCUAUACCUCGCAGUGUGCUACUAGGUUGUUGACAUUGGUAAUAUCACUUCGGAAACACUUCGGACGGGUGUCUAUCGGGUCAGAAUGUAUGGUGGUGAGCGUUCCGAGGUGGUUCCGAUAGGGGCGUAAUAGUGGUCCCCUAAGUCCAGGUAUGAAUAUUUAUAUCAUGAGUGGACUUGCUUUCCUGACCGGACGAGGAUGCCUCGGUACUGGGGACCACUACUCGUGGGUCGAUCUGCUGCAGUAACCGAAGCCAUGAUCUUAGGCAGGCGCCAAAGCUUCGUCACUACGGAAGGGAAAUAAUAACCGAUGUGAGGUCGAAGAGCUGCAAGACUGGACGAUUAGUAGGAAAUAAGGUCAAUGCGACGAUCGAGACUAUGACCCACACAGGACUCGCGUUAGGGGUGCUUAAGCUUCGCAAAAUUGAGUGAGGAGCUCAUCUGUUAUCGGUGCGUUGACCCACAGGGGCCGACGCGUUGGGAGAUGGUUAAAACUUUGUAAAGCUUGGAGGGAACGCAGCGUCCGAGGCGAUGACCCACAGGGGACUUCGCAUCAGGUGCGUCUAAAUUUUGUAAAGUUGAAUGAGGAGCUCAUUUGCCACCGGUGCACUGACCCACAGGGGCCGAUGCAUUGGGAGAUGGUUAAAACUUUGUAAAGCUUGAAAGGUAACGCAGCGUCCGAGGCGAUGACCCACAGGGGACUUCGCGUCGAGUGCAUCUAAACUUUGUAAAGUUGAGUGAGGAGCUCAUCUGCCACCGGUGCGCUGACCCACAGGGGCCGACGCGUUGGGAGAUGGCUAAAACUUUGUAAAGUUUGGGAGGGAACGCAGCGUUCGAGGCGAUGACCCACAGGGGACUUCACGUCAGGUGCGUCUAAACUUUGUAAAGUUGAGUGAGGAGCUCGAUCCGAGGCGAUUCAAACGUCAAAUGAUUUGACAACUGUCGCGUAUUUCCAAUGUGACAGUUAGGUGCCAUGCCCAUUCUCCUAAAAGGCUGCUGCGGCUACUUAUUAUUGACGGCUGAUAGUGACCGAGGUGACGCAUUUUAAGCGAGCGUGAAAGUCACAACGAAAUCUUGGGCGUAGGUCAAAUCUGGCGUUUCAUUUCAAUGGCCCAGAUUGAAGAUGCGACGAACGGCUUAGAUUGAUCGCAUUUGAAUUCGACGGUGGAGAUCAGAUUGGUCUUUCUAUAAAAGGUGGAUUCUGAGCUUUUCUCAAGCUUUCUAUCCUUGCGAAACAAACACUAUACUUUGCUCUCAAGUCAUUUGCGAUUUCCGUCGUUUUCUAAGCAAUUCUGGCAAGAAACUUGAACUUCCGGCGAGAAACACUAGCAUCCGGCGACCUUACACCAUUCCUGGCUAGGAAAACCUUCAAACUCGUAAGUUUCGGUACCUUUUAGGAUUUUUAACUUCUGAAAAAUGGCUUCUGAAGGGAGUUCUGGUUCUAGGAGGGGAUUAGAACUAGUGAGGAUGGACGAGCCCAUUGUGGUGGCGAUAAUAGGGGAAAAUAUAUGGAAGCGACCGGAUAGCCCAGCAGAUACUUCUGUGCAUUGGGGGCAUCGGACUAACCAUCUAAAUUAAGAGAGGCCGACUUGGGGAGACUUAGGACGGAGUAUAGGAUCCCUGAUAGCAUAGAUUUGAUCCUCCCCGGGCCCAAAGAGAGGGCCUGUUACCCUAGGUCGGGUUGUGUGGCCAUUAGCGAGGCAAUCUUUAGGACCGGAUUUAGGCUGCCAAUUCACCCGUUCUUUAGGAUGGUGCUUAGAUCCUAUGGGCUAGCCCCGACGCAACUCAAUCCGAAAUCCUGGAGCCAAAUGAUGGGCUCCUGGAUGUUGUGGAAAGAGGCGUCAUUAGGGGUGGAGAUGCCUCUCUCCGUCUUCCAGAGCCUUUACAUAUCUAAGAUAACUGCCAGGGGGAUAAGACCCGGGGUGGUACUACCUUACUUCAUAGGGUUUUCACACUCCAUUCGUGCUCGAUCUGUCGAGCUCCAUCAAAGAAUGGAAGAACUCGUGGUGCUGAGCCGCAAGGUGGUGGGACACGAUGAAGGGGGACCCCCUGGCGCCUUUUACGGUCCUGACGAAGUAUUCAACUUAGUGAGUAUAGUAGUUGAUUUUCUUUAUAUUUCUCUUCGGUUCGAAUCGUGCCUAAUAUUUGCAUUUCCUUUGUAGGUGCUCUUCCUCCGUGUGAGCUGUCAUCCGAGGACUUCAAAACCAUCUGCAUCAUCUAUCAGCUGCCUCAAAAGAAGAGGUGUAAUACUCCGAAAUUUUAUGCUCGUUUAAAUUUCUUUUAGGAUAACGAUUUAACUUUCAAUAUUAUUUUUGGCCACAAGAAAAAGGGGGCACCACCUUUGUAGUAAUUAAAGCUAGAGGUAGCUAAUGAAUGCAAGCAUGAAGUGCUAAAUGUUGUGUAUACAUGAAGUGAUUAUUAGUAGUCGAAAUUCAAGUCGAGUUUGAAUGAAGUGGAUUAUCUUGUUAGGACUUCAAUUGACUAAAUGAUUAAAUUAUUUUAUUGGGAUUUAUUUUACAAUCUACAAUAUUUGAAUAUGUAGGUUGAAUACAAAUUUAAAUUUGGGAUACAUUUUGCUAAUAAUGAAAGGUAGGGGGAUUAGGUUCUAUUGUUUGGAAAAUGAGAGACUUCCUUUGUAAAUCUAGAAUUUGGGGCCACUUAUUACCCUAUAAUUAACCCACUUGUCAUUUAUCAUCACCAUACACUUAUGNNNNNNNNNNNNNNNNNNNNNNNNNNNNNNNNNNNNNNNNNNNNNNNNNNNNNNNNNNNNNNNNNNNNNNNNNNNNNNNNNNNNNNNNNNNNNNNNNNNNNNNNNNNNNNNNNNNNNNNNNNNNNNNNNNNNNNNNNNNNNNNNNNNNNNNNNNNNNNNNNNNNNNNNNNNNNNNNNNNNNNNNNNNNNNNNNNNNNNNNNNNNNNNNNNNNNNNNNNNNNNNNNNNNNNNNNNNNNNNNNNNNNNNCUUAAGUUAUGCAUGAAAAGCCAUAAUAUGCAUAUGGUGGACAAGUCCACAAAGUUAGAUAUUCAUUUAUGCCUUAGGACAAGUUCGAAGGGCACCGGCAAGCCGGAAGAUGCAAGUAUGUGUUUGAUUGCUUUCUUUUGUGUAGUAUUAUCAUGAUAAAAUUCAAGCAUGGUAUCUUACUGAGUAUUGCUUAUACUCAUAGUAUUUUAUACUAAAUUUUUAGAUCCAUGAUCGUUGGAUUGAUGGAAGUUAGUUGGCAUAAGCGAUGGUGGAUUAAGGACAAAGAUGUUUUGCAUCGAAAGUUUCCUUUUAUAUGUUUUGUUCGAUGACUGUUUUUCCAUCUGUUUUCUUAUGGUAUUAUGUAAAAACAUGUACAUAACACGAUGUAAUAUGGUAUUAAAAGUAAAUUUUGUAAUCAUAUCCUUCAUGUUGUGUUAAGAGAAAAUUUUUAGGAAACUUCUCUUUGCAAGUGUUAAAAAGCAGAAACGGGACAGUUUUGGGGUCAACUUCAAAAUGAUGUUUCUAAUUCUAUAAAUAUUCAUUCAAGACUCUAAAAAUAUUUCUGUGCUCCUCUUUGAGUUUUCUAAAUAUGGCCGUAGGAUCACUCAAUUUGAAUAUUUAUGGCCUGAGAUAUAAAUUUUUAAAUGUCGAGGGGUCAAUCUGGAUUUCCUGUGCAAUACUUCAUUGUUUUCAAUAAAACGUCCAUAUCAUAUGAUCUUGGAAAAUUUUCAUAUUUUAACCUAGAAAACGACUUGAAAUUAUCUUUCUAAUGCCACAAAUUUCAUGUAAAACGGAGUUGGGAUGAAUUUUAUAAAAAUUGUCAAACUUGCUGCCCCAACUAACCUUGGUAGUGCCGAGUCCGUAUAUGUAAAGUAUAAUUUCUUGUCGACAUGCACUUCUACCGGCUAUUGAAUUUUAUAAGGAAUAUUUUACCAAAUUGAAAAUAAGUUUCUAACAUGUAAUACUUCUAAUUAAGAGUAUUUACAUGUUCCAAAGACCGAAACUAUUAUGUUUAGUACGUGGCCUUCGAAGCUUAAGUUCGGGGCGUCACAAGAGGUCUUACCAUAGGCUGAUCCGAAAGAACAUCCACUUCAUUACCCACGACCUGAUGGCAUCCCAAGGUAACUGGACCGAAGUCUUUACCCUUUAUUCUGAACUCUCAACACUUGUACUAAUUCAUCAUUCGUUCAUUGCAGACAACUUUAAUAAUAAAAUGCCCGUGCGCCCCGACUUUAAGACCAUCCAGAAGAUGAUAGCAGAGGCACGGGCAUUGAAGGCCUCGUCCUCCUCCUACAAAAAGCAAAUGGAGGAUUUGGAGGAUGCCAGUAAGAGGCUUCAACCUCCAAUGGAGGAGGAGGUACCGGAGGACCUGGAGGCUGACCUUCAGAGGAAGGGCAAGAAGAGCACCGUCUCUCCAAAACGCCCAACUGUGGCGAGGCCACCCCCUGCUCUGAAGCAAACCACAAUACCAACCGAGGUGGCCAUUCCGGAUAAGAGGCCUACUCCAUCUGAGGCUGCCGCUGCCCCGGCUACAACACCACUUGCUGCUACGCCAAUUGCUCAAGUGCCGAGGCAGCAGAAGAGGAAGAGGCCCCGUCCCUCUAAGGAGGUUGACUUUUUGGGCACAAAUUCGGAGGAGCCGGUGAGGGAAGUGUUGGAGGCCCUUCAUCCAGAAACAGCUGCACUGGCGGUGGUCCACAGCAAAUACUGGACCAAGGAGUGGAGGGAUCACACCACCUCGUGCACAACUGAGGACUUGGUGGCUGCCAAUAGCUCCUACGUGGCUCGGGCCCUGAUUACAAGCAUCCAACUCGAGGGCCUGGUGAAGGAUCUGAACUCCAAGAGGGAGGACCUCGCCAAGCGUCUCGAGGAGGUGAUGCAUUAUGGGGAUGCCGUAAGGGAUGCCCGGACCAAGGCCACGCAGGUGGAGGAGAGGAAGAAGGAGGCCGAGGCCCCGCUGACUGCUGCCAAAGCAGAAAUGGAGUGGCUGAAGAAGGAGUUGUACGAGGUGGAGUGCCAAGUGGCUGCUGUGACUUGGCGACUUGAUCACGCCAACGAGCACCACAAGCUCGCCACUGAGGCUCUGAAGGCCUCAAACAAAGAGAAGGCGGAGCUGAGGCAAAGGGCAGAGGCUCAGUCUGAGGAGAUUGCCUCUUUGAAGGAGGAGUUGAAGUCUGUAAGGGAGGCAGCAGUUCAGAACUUCAUCGACCACUUUGAAGACCAUCCCUUGUAUGACGACUUUGCCAAUUUUGGGCCUCUUGGAGUGCUCAAGGUUUAUUGGGUUGACUGAAAGAGAUCCAUCCCACUCUGGAUAUCUCCUCUUUGGAGGCAGAGUUCGGGGGACCAACUGGAGGUCGGCCUGAUAAGCUUGCUGAGGAGGCUCCGGAGGCCCUGGAGGCAGCUGAUGCAGAAGCUCCAGAGGUCCCCCCACUAGAAUAGGGUCUUUUGUAAUGGCUUCGGCCUCCUUAUACUUCAAUUUCCACUGAAUGAAAUGAAAUUUUUUGCUAAGUGUUUAUGCUUCUGCUUUCUUUCGUUUUGGAUCUGUUUAUACUUGUUUGAAUGACAAACAUCAAACUAAGCACCGUGUAACAAUAACCAGUUAAUAAUUGAGGAUCGGACCACUUAAGUUAAUAUGAAGCGGACCACUUAAGGAAACAUGAAGAGCCUCUCAACGUUAAUCAGUUAAUAAUUGAAGAUCGGAUCACUUAAGUAAACAUAUUAAAGGACUGAGGAAAUUAUUUACUAACCGAUGCGGCACAGAACCGAAGUUUCAUUACUUGAGAUAAAUUACACCACUUUACCAAGGCAAUUCCCGCACUUAGUGAGCUGGGAAACUUACAACUGAGACCAUAUCAGAACAAUCGAUUCAUUAGGCCAUAUUGAGAUCGGAUCGAAACAAAGGCUCAUCAUUGAUAGUACUUCCUCAAGUGUUCGAUGUUCCACUGAAAAGGCAGUGCCUUUCUUGCCAUGUCUUCAAUUUCGAAAGUACCAGGUCGGGAUUCCCUGCGGAUGCGGUAAGGGCCCUCCCAGUUCGGGCCAAACACUCCUGACCCGAUUGGUUUUGAAGAUUGGAAGACUCUUCUGAGGACGAGGUCGCCCAGGCGAAGAGUUCUGUUUCUGACCUUGGAGUUGUAAUAGCGGGUCAUCUUUCGAUGAUAUUUUGCCAAGUUCACUUGGGAGGCAUCCCUCAUUUCCUGAAGGAGGUGCAGUUCGCUUAUUCGAGCCUCGUCGUUACUGAUCUCAUUGAAAUGUAUCUGUCGGUGUGAUGGGACCCCGACCUCGAUCGGGCUCAUGGCCUCGACUCCGUAGGUCAUGGAGAAUGGUGUUUCACCUGUUGCAGUUCGGCUAGAAGUUCUGAUAGCCCAGAGGAUGUGGGUGAGUUCGUCAACCCAGGCCCCCUUUGAGGUGUCAAGUUUCAUUUUCAAGGUGUGCUUGAUAGUUUUGUUUACUGCUUCAACCUGCCCAUUUGCUUGGGGGUGAUGAGAUGUUGAGAAGUCCUUCUUUAUGCCUAGUUCAUCGCAUAAGUCUCGCAUCUUCCUGUUGUCGAACUGCCUUCCAUUGUCAGACACUAAGGAGUGGGAAAUUCCAAACCUGCAAAUGAUGUUCUUCCAGAAGAAUUUGGUAGUAUUCGCCUUGGUGAUCCUGGCGAGGGGUUCAGUCUCGACCCACUUAGUGAAGUAGUCAAUGGCGACAAUGGCGAAAGUUGCACUUCCUCUUCCUUUUGGGAGUGGACCAAUGAAGUCAAUGCCCCACUUGGCGAAAUGGCCAAGGGCUGGUUACUACGGAGAGGUUCUGAGCAGACUGUCUUUGUAUGUUUGAGAAGCGUUGGCACUUGUCACAUUUUGGACAAACUGGCAAGCAUCUCUUUUUAAGGUCGGCCAGAAGUAGCCUUGACAGAGAACUUUGUGUGCCAGAGCCGUUCCUCCGGAGUGAUUUUCGCAGAUUCCUUCGUGGAUUUCUUUAAGUAUGUAUGUGGCCUCUUCACCUCCCACGCAUCGAAGAAAGGGCGACGCGAAGCCUCUUUUGUAAAGAGUAUCUUCUUGCAGGACGAAGUGUGCAGCCCUUCUUCUUAACUUCCUCGCCUCGCUCCUAGAAGCAGGUAGUGUUUGAUCCUUCAGAUAGGCGAUGAUAGGUUGCAUCCACAAUGGGGUGCCUUCUAUCCAUAGUACCUCUUCACCUCCGGAGGUGAAGGGCUUUGAUAAGUGCUCAAUAGGGAUGACUUUUAGCAGCUUUGAAUCCUUGCUGCUGGCCAAUUUUGAAAGGGCAUCUGCAUGUACAUACUCUAGAUGGGGGACUUGAGUCAGUUCGAACCUUUCAAAAUGAGGAACUAUGUCCAGAACCAACUUCAAGUACGCAAUCAUGCUACCAUCUUUGGCUGCAAAGUUUCCAUUGACUUGGUUCACUAUAAGUUGAGAGUCACUGCUCGCCAGGAGCCUUCUGACCCGCAUCUCCUUAGCAGGCCUAAGACCUGCCAGAAGGGCCUCGUAUUCAGUAGCAUUGUUUGAGGCUUUGAAGCCGAACCUUACUACACAAUUUAGCUUGUGGCCUUUCGAGCUUUCCAAUACGAUCUCUGCCCCAGAGCUAGUCUCUCCUGAGGACCCAUCUACGAACAGUUUCCAUGUUGGGGGCUCGGCUGGCUCCAUUAUCGCCUCCAUUUCUGGGGCUUUGGCAAACUCAACCAUAAAAUCAGUAAGGGCCUGUCCCUUCAUGGCGUGUCGAGGUCGGAACGUUAGAUCGAACUCACUGAGCUGAUUGCCCAUUUUAGCAGGCGUCCGGAUGCGUCUGUUUUCUGCAUCACCUGCUUCAGCGGAAAGUUGGUGAGAACUAGAAUUGAGUGAGCCUGGAAGUACGGCCUCAGUUUUCUUAAGGCUGUGAUGAGGGCGAGCGCCAGUUUCUCCAUGUCUGGGUAGCGUAUUUCAGCUGGGAGGAGUGCUUUGCUGACGUAGUAUACUGGCAACUUGCGCUUGCUUUCUUCUCUGACUAGGACGGCACUGACUGCCACGUCCGAAACUGCUAAGUACAGCAGUAGUGACUCUUCCGGUUGAGGUUUCGACAAGAGGGGCGCCUCUUCGAGGUGCUUUUUCAGCCCUGGAAGGCUUCCACACACUCCGAAGGUCAUUGGAAUUUCUUUCCUUGUUUCAAUACAUUGAAGAAAGGCAAGCUUUUAUCUGUGGCCCUAGAGAUGAAGCGACUGAGUGCGGCUAUCCGACCAUUGAGGCUUUGGACCUCCUUUAGUUUCUAAGGUGACCUCAUCUCUAGCAAGGCCAUUAUUUUCACUGGAUUUGCUUCAAUUACUCUUCGAUUGACAAUAUACCCUAAGAACUGACCCGAUGCCACUCUAAAGGUGCACUUGAGGGGAUUUAAUUUCAUAUUAUACUUUCUAAGUAUCUAAAAAGUUUAGUUGAGGUGACUUACGUGUUCGGCUGCCUGGAGGCUUUUAACUAGCAUGUCGUCCACGUAGACCUCCAUGGUUUUCCCAAUGAGCUUGGCAAACAUCAUGUUGACCAAUCUUUGAUAUGUAGCUCCGGCGUUCUUCAAUCUGAAGGGCAUGACUUUGUAAUAAUACAGACCUCUGUCCGUAAUGAACAAUGUAGCUUCCACAUCAGGUCGGAACAUGGGUAUCUGGUUAUACCCUGAGUAUGCAUCCAUGAAGCUCAGUAGUUCAUGUCCAGCAGUAGAAUCCACAAGUUGAUCUAUUCUUGGAAGUGGAAAGCUGUCUUUAGGGCAUGCCUUAUUUAAGUUUGUGAAGUCCACGCAUACCUCCACUUUCCGCUGGACUUUUUCACCAGGACCGGGUUGGAUAUCCACUUCGGGUAGAUGGCCUCCCUUAUGAAACCACUGCAGCUGAGUUUGUUCACUUCGUCUUUCAGUGCCUCAUACCUUUCCGGAUUGAGGGCACGCCUCUUCUGUCUAUGGGGGGCACAGGUGGGGUUGAUGUUAAGGUGAUGGCAACUGAUCUUAGGAUCUAUUCCCACCAUAUUUUCAUGCUUCCAUGCGAAGACAUCCAAGUUCCUUUUCAGGAAGCUUAUCAUCUCUGCUUUCGCUUCAGGGGACAAUGACUUUCCUAUACGCACGACCUGACUGGGGUCUUCUGGGUUGGUGGGGAAGUCUCCAAUUCUUCCAUUGGGGUCGCAUUUGGUUUAGAGUCAAUUAUUCGAGGAUCUAACUUAUCAAGAGAGUGUCCUUGUUCAGGGGCCUCUUCCAUGUCGACGUCUUCCUCUUGUUCAGAGGUAUGCCCUUGUUCAGGGGCGUCGGGCAUUUCCACGUCCGUACUGACUUCAGCGGGAACCUUAGUUCGGGGCUUGGACUUUCGCAGCGAGUUUAAGUAGCAUGCCCUGGAGCCCAUCUGAUCACCUCGGACCAUAGCAAUCCCAUGUUCAGUUGGAAAUUUCAUACACAAGUAGUGGAUGGACAUGACAGCCCAAAGAUCUUUCAAAGCGAGUCUGCCCAAUACUCCAUGAUAAGCCGAUCUGUGAUCUACCACCAAAAAUUCCAUGAAGUGGCCACUAGGGGUGCUGAACCCAUCUCCACGGGCAGAGUGAUCCGCCCUCGUGGGACGAUGCUGUCUCCAGUGAAUCCGAAUAGUGGGUCGAUCAUGGGGAUCAACCCAUGUUCAAUUUGUAUUUUGUCAAAAGUGGAGCCGAACAAUAUGGUCACGGAACUGCCAUUAUCGACGAGCAUGCAUUUCAGUCCGUUUCUAGCCACUAUGGCUCUUACAACCAAUGCAUCACAAUGGGGGUGAUGAACCCCCUUUGCAUCUUCCUGGGAGAAGGUGAUUGGGGCCAUCCUAUCGGCUGCUUGCGACUCGUUGACAAUGUAAGUGAUCAUUGGUGGAUCCUUUGCUUCCCUUGUGUAAUUCUUUAGGCAUUCCUAGUGUUGCCACCGACAUGGGAUCCCCCAAUGAUGGUAUCGAUUUUCUUGAUGACUUGGCUCCCAGAAAAUUGGGCCUGGUUUCUCUGUCUAGAUUGACCUCGGUCCCUUGAUUCUCUUCUCUAAGGUGAUUGUUCUCUGUGCCCUCUCGCUCCCCUGCUCGGGGUAACGGAUCUGCGAGGAUACUCGUUCUUGCUGGAAGGGUGUGGGUUGCUUCGAUCAGGGUGUCGAUUGGCAUCUCGGCACUCACUAGUGUCAUGCCCAUACAGUUGAUGGAACGUACAAAACCUUGCCCCUUCCAAGGGUUUGUUUGACCUUUUCUUCUUCUUCUUCUUCUUCUUCUUCUUCUUCUUCUUAUCAGCUCUUUCGGAUGGUCCCGCUUCGGCAGGAACAUUCUCAUAUGCCAACACCGGCACUGCAUUCAAUGUGGCCGAAGCCAGCGCCUGUCCAGAGGUGGGAGCUAUUGUGUGACCUGCUUGAGUCCAUUGCUGAGCAACAAGGUGUGCUAUGGGUCCUCGACCUACCUGCCUUUGAGGCGGAGGGAGUCCCUGCUCGACACGGUUGCGAUGGUCAAUCAUUUCUUCACUCAUAAUUUCCACUCUCAUCAUUUCCACCAGUUCGUCAUAUGUCGAGGGAUUCUUAUUGCGCACGUCCCUCCAGAACAAAGUGUUCAUGUUGAGCCCGCCUUUCAGGGUUAAAAGGGCUUCUCUGUCAGUAACCUGUUCACAGUAGGUGAUUUUGUCUGUAAACCUGGCGAGAUAGCUUUUCAGCGUCUCCCCAGGGGCCUGCCUCAUAUCUUGCAGGCAUUGCACUGGUGUCUCUCCUUUUCUGCGUGAGAGAUAUUGGUUCAAAAAUGCUUUCUUCAAGUCUGGCCAACUUCUAAUGCUUAGGGGAGGAAGCCUGUUGUACCACACUUCGACGGCUCCGCCCAAUGAUAAAUGGAAGGCUCUGCAUUUCAAAGCAAGCGAGGCUCCCCUAAGACUCAUUUGUGUCAUAUACUUGGUGAGGUGCUUCUCCAGGUCUUCCUUCCCUUCAUACUUGGGGAUCUUAGGGGGCAUAAAAUUUGCUGGCAUUGAGAAGCUUCGGAUCUCCCUUCAGAAAGGGAGGUUAUCAUCAUCAUCGUCAAUCUCAUAAGACCAACAGGGCCCAUCUGACCCUUCAUCAUCUUGAAUGUUCUGGGAAGGUGAGGUGCUUCUCCUCGACUCCCUCAAUCUACUAGGUUCCUCAUGUCCCUCCUAUUUCUAGGAGGAAGAGGAGCAUGUUCUUGUUCCUGAUCUGGCCGAACUAAUCCUUUUACUGGGCGGACCCUAUUGCUAGGACCCUCCCCGAUCCGGUCGAAGACGCUUACCGACCUCUGUUCCUCAUAUUCUUGAGGAAAAUUGUCCUUCAAGUGUGGUUCUGAUGGCUGGUUCCCUUGCACGUAAGAUGUGGCUUCGGCGUCAUCUCUCUUUCGAGGGGGCGUUCUGUGUGCCGCCUCAUGUGGCCUCGGGAGUGAGAUAUAGGGGCUUCUUGCACCGGAUAAGAUCCUUGAGGCAUUUGAUAGCCCUGAUGACCCUGGGCUUGCAUGAGGAGUUCAUGCAUUGCCAUAUUCUGAGCUGCGAUGUCUCUCAUACCCACAGCUAUUUGAGCAAUUCAUUCAGUGAGCAUGGCUGUUCUUCCACCUUGGCGACGCCGGUGAUGUGGUCUCUGAUGAGUAAAAUUGUUAUGAAGUACCUCUUCUUCAGAGACCUCUCUCACGGGGUUGUCGUCUUCAUGGCUAUAACUCAUCCUAUCUCUUUUUUCAAGAGUGGUGAGAACUUGGAUUAUAACUCGACUUUAUUUUUUUUCAAGAACGUACCCUUUUCAGGGUUAAUCGCUAGUUUUCCGGCAACUUCUCUGGUGGAGAAUGCAGAACUUUGAACGUGAAGUGUUUUCCACAGACGGCACCAAUCUGUUGACCUCGAAAAUUGGACCUUCCACGUGGCCAACCGAUAGCUAUUCCACGUAUUCCUCCCUGCGCACAAUCAACGCACGGUCAGACGCACACGACCGGACCAGCGGGGGUGGCGAGCAGCUUGUUUCUCCUGAGUUGAAUUGACAUAAAGUUGAUAAGUCACAUCAACUAGCAUCAUGGAGACGUCAAAUCAAUUUAAACCUUAGGUGCAGAGAGGAUCUUAACACAAAUCUCUUUCUGAAAUUGGCGGCGGAUCUUCUGACAGGGGUCCACUUGGCCUCGACCUCGAGACGAGGAGUUUCGAUCAGUUCAGCAGGAUCACCUAUACCUCGCAGUGUGCUAUUAGGUUGUUGACAUUGGUGAUAUCACUUCGGAAACACUUCGGACGAGUGUCUAUCGAGUCGGAAUGUGUGGUGGUGAGCGUUCCGAGGCGGUUCAGAUAGGGGGCGUAACAAAAUCAAUCCAACUUUAUACAGUGUUGAACACACAUGUACAUGCAAAACAUGUGCGUGUAUAUUUCAAUGAUGUUUGUCAUGAGGUGUGUAUUUGGAGAAUGUAAUAUAAGGUUAAAAUAUGUAGUUCAACCUUCGAAUAUGUUUGAUUAUUAUAGGACGUGGCAGAUUUUUAUUUUACUUGGAUCCCAGUUGCUUAAGCGGUGUCAAAAAUAAAAGGAUUUUGAUAUUUGUACAUCGAAGUUGACAUCCCGAUGUACAGAUUCCUCACAACAAAAGGGAGUCCACGAUGAAUUAAAAUAGUUUUUAUAACAUAAAUUACUUUAUUCGAAAUUGACUGAUAAAUUAAUAUUUAAUAAAACGGCUCCUUUGCAAGCUAGUGUCAGCAUCAAUAAAUUAAUAUAUUUCAAAACAAAAAAUGUUUUCAUGAACCGACUUAGACUAAAAUGGACGGUGUGCCAAUAUUUUUUUUUUUGUGCGUCAUAGUCCCCAUGUCAUGUCAUGUCGAUGUGAUUUAAACCAAUCCAGUAAAAAGAAAAAAUAAUAAAAAUAAAAAUAAAAAAUCGAAAAGUAGACUAGAGACGUAAAACAAAUCAACUAUUGUCUCUACUCGAAGAUCAUCAAUAAGUUAUAGGUAUAAAGCAAAUAUAAAUUGCUUACAACUACAUUUUAAGAAACAUACUACUUUUUAUAAGUAAAAUAAAAUAAGUACUUAAAAGUGAGACGUGAUAAGAUGAGACGAGUAUUUAUCAUGUUCCAAAUAUAUUGGAAAUUAUACAGCUUAUAAAAUGAAUUGUCUAAUUAGUUGACCAUUUAUAUGUAUCUUCCACUUCAAAGGGUUAAAAAAAAAGGGAGAGAGAAAGAGAAAUGUAUGUUCAAAUAAUCGGUUAUACAUUGGUGUGUUUAACUGGGACAUUUAAUGUGUGGCAGCAGAAUUGUGUUUAUUAGUAAAAGAUGGCAGUGUGAAAAUUUUAAGCUCAGCACAGUUUAUCAGUCACAUGCCCUUGUUUGAGCCCCAUUCUUUUUAUAAGAAUACAUUUUUGAAUAGUGUAUUAAUGGAAAAUGAGUGGUUAAAAAAUAAGAAAAAAUUUUGGAUUUGCGUGUAAUAUUAUUUUGUUGAAAAAUGUGUCGUUGAAAUGAUGUCAAAAUACUAUUUCAAAACGUAUUUUUUUUUUCAAAAGAAUGGGACUCAAACAGGAUUCUCAUAUUUCUGUGCUUUCUCCUGAUGCAGAUAAUAAAUGAGCUUGGGUCUUUCGAAAAAUACAUUUGGGGUUUUGUGAACUUCAAGCCCGUAACAGGUAAUUUUCGCUACCCGCGACAGGUUCCAAUCAAGACGUCGAAAGCUGAUACCAUAAGCAAAGAUUUGGUGAAAAGAGGAUUUCGAGGAGUCGGGCCUACGGUCGUUUACUCGUUUAUGCAAGCUGCCGGAAUAACAAAUGACCAUCUCAUUAAUUGUUAUAGAUAUCAGGAAUGUAUAGCUGAAGGUGGUGUAAUGGACAGGGACGAUGGCCUAAAGGAGAAGAUUGAAGGGAAACAACCCGAAGACAUUGCUGAAUACGAGUUAGCUACAGCUAUCGAUGACUUGAGUUUAUCGACUUAGUAUUUGUCAGACGGUUUGUACUCGCAAUGGUAUGAUGUGGAAGGGUAGUUUCCUACACGCCAUCGCGUGAUGGCUGGCAUGAAUUUUAUGUACAAAUUGUUAUGAAUAUUGUAUUUAUUUUCUGUGUACAUUAUAUAAAGAGAAUUUGCCUGAGGAAAAUGAUAUUUGAGGUCUGCAAUUACUGCAAAAAAUAUUCUUCAGACUGUUCAAUGUGGAAUCAUUAUCUAUUUCUUUUAUUUUUCUCUACAUCUAUACUUUCUAGGAUAAUUUGUGCGUUUGUUGAAGAACAUGUUGAAUUCAACUAAAAAAUUAGAUUAAAAUUUAAGCCGAAAUCAACAAUUAAUUAAAAUAAUAUAUUUUAUAGGAUCCACAACUUUUUAACCACGCAUUCUAUCAAAUAUUACGAAAAUCUACCCAAUAAAAAUGGUUUUUAUCUAAAUCAAAAAGGGCCUUAGAGUCGUUAUCUGUCUAACAUUGUUCAUUCCAUGAUUUGUGAGCUUAGAUGGACCAGAUCGAGCCUAUUAAACCCAAGGUCGGAGCUUGCUCCAAAUUGGGUUAUUUCUAGUUAAAGAAGACUAAUCCAAACUUGUUUACAACUCUUUGGUUCUUUUUGUCAGCAUGAAUUUGCAUCAAUUGGUUCAGUUAAUGCUUUCCAAUAGUCAAAUGACAAAAAAGGCGCUCUUCAUUUGACCAUCUACAUUUCAGUCUAUUGAAGAAAUUUUCCAGAAAUGGCAGCUGCAAGUGCUGAUUUGAAGUUGGGAUCUUUAGUCAACGCAGAAGCCAUU
rnacentral:lncRNA from 1 species